GACGAACGCUGGCGGCGUGCUUAACACAUGCAAGUCGAACGGAAAGGCCCUGCUUUUGUGGGGUGCUCGAGUGGCGAACGGGUGAGUAACACGUGAGUAACCUGCCCUUGACUUUGGGAUAACUUCAGGAAACUGGGGCUAAUACCGGAUAUGAGCUCCUGCUGCCUGGUGGGGGUUGGAAAGUGUCGGCGGUUGGGGAUGGACUCGCGGCUUAUCAGCCUGGUGGUGGGGUAGUGGCCUACCAAGGCCUUGACGGGUAGCCGGCCUGAGAGGGUGACCGGCCACAUUGGGACUGAGAUACGGCCCAGAGUCCUACGGGAGGCAGCAGUGGGGAGUAUUGCACAAUGGGCGGAAGCCUGAUGCAGCAACGCCGCGUGCGGGAUGACGGCCUUCGGGUUGUAAACCGCUUACGCCUGUGACGAAGCGUGAGUGACGGUAAUGGGUAAAGAAGCACCGGCUAACUACGUG
rnacentral:rRNA from 1 species